UUUUAAAUGUAUCACAAAGCAGCUUGAAAAAUGAUUUUAAGCUCACAUUUUUGUCUUUCCUUAUGUUUGAGUCCUCUUCCCAUGCAGCAUGAAAGCAAUUAAGCAUUACAUGUGGCUAAGCCCUUAAUCUACUGUUAACAGUUGUUUUCAACACGGCACCAAAAACGAGGCCCAAGGGUUUCUGAACCACGGCAUUGGGUAAAAAAAUGGGAAACUAAUGGUCAGCUUCACAUUUUCUAUCACCUUCAAUAAACCCGUAAACCCCACUUUGCAGCAAAGUGAGGCGAUACAAUUUCAUUAUUAAUGUCUGACUUGCGCGCGGCAAAAAAAAAACCCGGAGGAUUUUGUCCCGGUCGACAAAGUCAAGUGGAGCUCCUCUCAGCGAUAAGAAAAGCACAAACACAUUUCAGGGAAAGCGUCCCCUGCUGCGACGUGGUUAAAAAACGAAAAAAAAAAAAAAAACAAGACAAGUUGAUGACGGCCACCGUGAAAGCUGCGGCUGGGUGUGGAAAUUAGCCUGUCACGGUCCUGGACCCUGACCAGCCGCUGCGGAUAAUCACAGCUCUGGCACGCCGUCGGCUCUGAAAUGUGACAGCGGCAACCUGUUAUUUCAAGGGUCGGGKGAUAAUUGCGCGCUGGCCUGCGUGGGAAGAUCAGAGCUGAAUUAAAAAGCAGGAGAUGGGAGGAGGGGGGGUUAUAACAGCGGGACGAGCAGGACCGGAUUACCGCAUUGUUUUCCCUGUUUGCUACGGUCCAAGCGCUGACAGGUGAGCAUGGAGAGAGUUCCUGGAAAAUGACUCAUCAUUCCGCCGCCACUUUUCCAGACUGACGCCCCCCACCAGCAGGAGAAAUGUUCUUCCACCUGAUGUGAUUUCAGCUUCCUCUGCCUUCCUGUUCAUGUGUCAUUUCACAUCCAAACUCUAUUUUUCCUCACUGUAAUAACUGAGCGUGUCAGAUGUACUUUAUUCAUCUGUGAGCGGCUCGUUUUUUCUUUUUUUUUUGUUUGUUAUUUGAUGAACAGCUGCAGGGUGUGUUUUUGAGCUUUUCUAAUGAUUGCGCCCAUCUAAGCCGCCUACAUCAAUACCAGGCAUUCUGACCUGCGGAUAAAGUGAAAACUCCAUUAAAAUAAAGCACUUAACAGCAAACAAAAAUCCCCCAAACUACACACACACACACACACACGCAGACACACACACACACUAUCCGGAUAAAAACCCAUCAUCUGAUCAGUCACAGGUUCACAAGUCCAAACUGUUUUUCUAUUACUGCAUGAAAUAGCCAACCUGGUUUCAUCUUGGCAGCUCUUUCUGAUCCACCCUGGUUUCUUUCUGAUCUCAUUUUCAGGUAAAGAAAAAAAAAACCCUUCCAUUUGACUUUUGUUUUUGAAAUUCUGCCUGGCUUAUGCUACAUUUUACGCUCCAGAAGACCGUCUGAUGAGCUCUCGGGUGCAAAAUGUUCCUUUAACUUUAAUUUGUCUUCGUAUUUUCCCCUCCCGGCGCCUCUCUUCACUCUGUAAUCAAACCAAUCACCAAGGUGCAGCAAGGGGGGGCACAAAGUAGAAUAGCAGGAGGGUAAAGUCUGAGUCAGUAUUCUUUAAAAAGAUGAAAUAAAAGAUGUUCUGUAUCUGUCUGUUCUUUGCAAAGUCUUUGGUGCAUCAAAAUGCUCUGCUGUUACCAUGGUAACAAUGGAGUGAGAAAAAAACUAAACAAAACAGAGAACCUGUACUCUUAUUUGUUUUCUUUGCAAACAACCCAAACAUUUGUCUGUUAACCUUCAUAUCCGUCAGAAAAUAAUUACUGUCAUAGUGAUGAAAAAGAGACAUAAGAAGGCACUUCAAACUAAACCUGACGGAAACUCACAGCAUGCUGCAGAUGCAGAGGAGGUCAUGAAUGAGGAGCCAAAUGGGUCGAGCCGCUUUGUGUCUCUGUGGUCUGAAAUUGCCUAGAUUCACAUACAAUACACAAUGGGUCAGGUUGCCCGACUUCUGGGUAAAAUUUUAUUUUAUCCAGAUUUUGUUUGCUAGACUAAGGCAAAGCCGUCCCACCUGUGUGUGACUGGAUCAUAGUGUCUAUAGUUGUUCUGUGAAGACUUCAGAGGUCUGUGAGAAAACAUUAGCAUGAACUACAUGAACACAGCAGACAGAGAAGGAGUCAAGGGACCCAUGGUCACAAAGCUGAGCUGCAGAGAUCAACAACAGAGAGUCGUGGUUUAGCUAGCUAGCUAGUGUUAGCGAUGGCAGCAUAGGAAGUGAGCAAAGCCGUUCAGUCCAUGUUGGCCACGCUGCUAAAUAUUGAAGUGACAUCAACACUUCGUUCAGAUCAGCACUUCUCUCCCUGCAGUGGAGGAUGGCUGUCUAGAGUGCAGAGACGUCAGAGUCUUAUUCGGGCAUUGAAGCAACAAGCCCCGUGUACUUGGGAGCGGCUACGUGUGCAGCGUUUUGCACUUUAAAGAAGUUCUAUGGAUUCAUGACGUUGGAAUGACACACCAUGUUUUAUGAACUGAGGUGCUGUAAGAGCUCUGGUGGAGCCAGCUGCACCUCGUCCAAAUCAAAAACAAACCGUCAUCCUCCUGCCACUUCCUGUCGUCUUCUUUGUGGUUUUCACCAGCAGUAACUGUCGGAUGUUACUGACAUGACUCAUGUGAUGCGAGAAAAAGCGUUUCCAUUGCAGUUCU